GAUGAACGCUGGCGGCGUGCCUAAUACAUGCCAGUCGAGCGAACAGAUGCGGAGCUUGCUCCUCUGACGUUAGCGGCGGACGGGUGAGUAACACGUGGAUACCCUACCUAUAAGACUGGGAUAACUUCGGGAAACCGGAGCUAAUACCGGAUAAUAUAUUGAACCGCAUGGUUCAAUAGUGAAAGACGGUUUUGCUGUCACUUAUAGAUGGAUCCGCGCCGCAUUAGCUAGUUGGUAAGGUAACGGCUUACCAAGGCAACGAUGCGUAGCCGACCUGAGAGGGUGAUCGGCCACACUGGAACUGGGACACGGUCCAUACUCCUACGGGAGGCAGCAGUAGGGAAUCUGCCGCAAUGGGCGAAAGCCUGACGGAGCAACGCCGCGUGAGUGAUGAAGGUCUUCGGAUCGUAAAACUCUGUUAUUAGGGAAGAACAAAUGUGUAAUUAACUAUGCACGUCUUGACGGUACCUAAUCAGAAAGCCACGGCUAACUACGUG
rnacentral:rRNA from 1 species